UACGGCCAUAUAACAUCCUAAUACCUAUUCUCGUAAGAUCACCGAAGUUAAGCAAAGUUGAGUGUGGCCAGUAUCUAGAUAGGUGACCGCUUGGGAAUACCAG